ACUCCUACGGGAGGCAGCAGUAGGGAAUCUUCCACAAUGGGCGCAAGCCUGAUGGAGCAACACCGCGUGAGUGAAGAAGGGUUUCGGCUCGUAAAGCUCUGUUGUUAAAGAAGAACACGUAUGAGAGUAACUGUUCAUACGUUGACGGUAUUUAACCAGAAAGUCACGGCUAACUACGUGCCAGCAGCCGCGGUAAUACGUAGGUGGCAAGCGUUAUCCGGAUUUAUUGGGCGUAAAGAGGGUGCAGGCGGUUUUCUAAGUCUGAUGUGAAAGCCUUCGGCUUAACCGGAGAAGUGCAUCGGAAACUGGAUAACUUGAGUGCAGAAGAGGGUAGUGGAACUCCAUGUGUAGCGGUGGAAUGCGUAGAUAUAUGGAAGAACACCAGUGGCGAAGGCGGCUACCUGGUCUGCAACUGACGCUGAGACUCGAAAGCAUGGGUAGCGAACAGGAUUAGAUACCCUGGUAGGAUAGCG
rnacentral:rRNA from 1 species